AUUGAACGCUGGCGGCAUGCUUUACACAUGCAAGUCGAACGGUAACAGGGUGCUUGCACCGCUGACGAGUGGCGAACGGGUGAGUAAUGCGCCGGAACGCACCGAGUAAUGGGGGAUAACGCAGCGAAAGCUGUGCUAAUACCGCAUACGCUCUGAGGAGGAAAGCGGGGGACCUUCGGGCCCCGCGUUAUUCGAGCGGCCGACGUCUGAUUAGCUAGUAGGUGAGGUAAGAGCUCACCUAGGCGACGAUCAGUAGCGGGUCUGAGAGGAUGAUCCGCCACACUGGGACUGAGACACGGCCCAGACUCCUACGGGAGGCAGCAGUGGGGAAUUUUGGACAAUGGGCGCAAGCCUGAUCCAGCCAUGCCGCGUGUCUGAAGAAGGCCUUCGGGUUGUAAAGGACUUUUGUCAGGGAGGAAAUCCUUAGCGCUAAUACCGUUGAGGGAUGACAGUACCUGAAGAAUAAGCACCGGCUAACUACGUGCCAGCAGCCGCAGUAAGAC
rnacentral:rRNA from 1 species